rnacentral:pre_miRNA from 1 species
ACAACAUUCGGUUCGUCGGUCUACCGAGCAAUAUCACCAGGUCGAUGGAAUAUCUUCCCUUUUUCGU